UAUAGCCAUCUAUCGUUGAACUAGAAAUCCUUCUCUGACAAUUUAAUAGGAACGGAACUGACGGCAGUUCUAAAGAAAGUCACGCACAUCUAGUGAAGGGCUAAUAUCAAAUUUACAGAAUUACUUGAUACCUGUGCUGGUGGGAGGUACCCCUUGAAAUUAGUCGAGGUGCACGCAAGCUGGCCCCAACACCGCGGUUAUAAAGAAAAAGUACUGUACAAUAGGCAACAACAACAACAACAACAACAACAACUACCCAGUAUACUCCCACCAGGUGGGGUCUGGG
rnacentral:lncRNA from 1 species